UCUCUGGUGGUCCAGUGGCUAAGACUCCACACUCCCAAUGCAGGGAACCUGGAUUUAAUCUCUAGUCAGAGAA
rnacentral:tRNA from 1 species